GCAAUCGACCAUAGGACGUGUUUAGAACAGGGCUUCCCGUCCGCUCAGCCGUACUUAAGUCACGUGCCGUUCAGCCAGUACUACCGCGGGUGACCAGGUGGGAAUCCUGAAUGUUGAUUGUC
rnacentral:rRNA from 1 species